UCAGGCCUAACACAUGCAAGUCGAACGAAGUAGCAAUACUUAGUGGCAGACGGGUGAGUAACAUGUGGGUAUUUGCCCUUUGGCCUGGAAUAACACGAGGAAACUUGUGCUAAUACCGGAUAAGUCUUUACGGAGAAAGCUUUAUGCACCAUUGGAUGAGCCCGCACUUGAUUAGUUUGUUGGUGGGGUAAUGGCCUACCAAGACUGUGAUCAAUAGCUGAUUUGAGAGGAUGAUCAGCCACAUUGGGACUGAGACACGGCCCAAACUCCUACGGGAGGCAGCAGUGGGGAAUCUUGCACAAUGGAGGAAACUCUGAUGCAGCGAUGCCGCGUGAGUGAAGAAGGCCCUUGGGUUGUAAAGCUCUUUCGUCGGGGAAGAAAAUGACUGUACCCGAAUAAGAAGGUCCGGCUAACUUCGUGCCAGCAGCCGCGGUAAUACGAAGGGACCUAGCGUAGUUCGGAAUUACUGGGCUUAAAGAGUUCGUAGGUGGUUGAAAAAGUUGGUGGUGAAAUCCCAGAGCUUAACUCUGGAACUGCCAUCAAAACUUUUCAGCUAGAGUAUGAUAGAGGAAAGCAGAAUUUCUAGUGUAGAGGUGAAAUUCGUAGAUAUUAGAAAGAAUACCAAUUGCGAAGGCAGCUUUCUGGAUCAUUACUGACACUGAGGAACGAAAGCAUGGGUAGCGAAGAGGAUUAGAUACCC
rnacentral:rRNA from 1 species